rfam:Trichobilharzia regenti genome assembly, scaffold: TRE_scaffold0014322
GUAAUGAUGAAGAGUCCCAAAAUAGGACGAAACAACUGUCCAGUAC